CAAAAGCAAUGGUCGUAGCUAAUAAUGAGCCACAAGGGACAUGGCUAAAGUGCAAGAUGCACCCAAGCCCUGAAACGUAAACCACAACCUCCUAUCAGUGAACCUUUAGACAGACUUGAAUGGUUAGUUUCUUUUGAUACUAUCCCAACAACACCACCAAUGUCUUCUCAACAUUUAGUUAUAUUAAUCCUA